CAUUCGUUAGGCUACAUCCCACAUAGCUAAUCGCGCACUAUCGGGAGCCAGGCCGCGAUGUAUUACGCAACAAAGCGAACGGCCAAUUAAAAAGUAAAACUCCUUAUGUUUGCCCAUCAUGCAACCCACAAUAAGCGCGAGAGCUAAGGUGAGGAUCAUUAUCGUUCGAGAGCUGCGUUCAGUGUGCUCAAUGCAGCAAGAAAAUUCGAGGUUCUCAAUGGAAUGUUUCUCUACGUGCCCGAGUCAUGCCACUUGAUUCCACGAAAUCGUCGGUCAAGCUUCGUCCGUUUGCCUUCGUUUUCGCUAGCUUUCUUUCGACAACAAAUUGAAAACACGCAAUUUCCAGUAUUCGAAACAAGAAAAGAACAGAUUUUUAACGCAAAACAGAAAUCUCGUUGGACGGCCCGUGAACACUGAGCGAGGCUGUGCGUCGAGUUCGAACGGUUUAAUUGUUUAACCUUUGGUUGCACCUGCGCGUGCGCGUACUUGGAAACGUAUUAAUGAAUAUAAAUAUAAAAAAUAACAUUCUGUCCAGCUCUUCUUUCUCGAAACGUGCUCAUGGAAACGGGGAUUUACAUACAAAUAUUCCAGUAAUUACGUGGCAGAGGUUAUUCUAUAAAGAACGGCAUUAUCCGAAGAAUCGUAUAUUUCUGCAGACCGAUUUCGAAGUGAAUAAACGAGAAACGCGUAGAACGCCGAUUUCUUAUUAUAUCGUUGAGUCACUCGAGAAGGGGAAAGCUCGGCGGGCCACGCUCGACCUGUUGUUCCAUCUCUAUUCUAUUUGAACGAAACGUGCGUCAGCGACGAUACGAUUGGUCAAGCGCGGCGCAACGGAAAGCGACCGGCCCGCGAUUGGUCCAGAAAACGAUUUUCGCACUUUCUCCGAUCUGACGACGUGCCCGUUCGCCUAUCUCGACAGCGAGAUCUCGGUCAGAGAUUUCUCGCUUGACAAGCGUGGAUAUCAAUGACGUAACGCGAAACAACAAAUAAACUCAGCUGGAUGAAGAUUCAGGCAGUUCACGGGCAACGAUGUUGCACUCCGGAUGCUGUUUUAAUCGGUCAACAGCCGUCGUUAUAGGGAAUCAUCGUCUGCUCGGCGUAGAAGGCAGAGGUCGACGGCCAAAUUUUCGAGUGAACGAAACAAUAACAAAACGUAAAGGAAACAGAAAAAGAAAGAAAAAGGACGGUUCUACCGCAGUAGAAAUUUUUUUAGAAAGUUCGCUCGUGAUCGUUAAGGACGAAGCUCGGGAUUGGCAGGAGUCGCUUCGUCGCGGACGGUGCGCCAAGUGUGUAUAUACAUGCUGCAUUACAAAGGAAGCGUUUAACCUUAAUAAAGCAACGGUGUCGCGCAGAGAGAGAGAUAGAGAGAGAGUAUCCGAAACGAUGCGGUUUGGAACGGUGGCACGGUACCUUGGUGUUGAAAAUUCGUGUCUUCUUGCCGUCCAUUUGCACGAUCAUCUUCGCGUUCAUCGCCAGUUCCCUGCAAUACAAAUCGGAACAGGUUCACGCACUUCGCAUUUUCGACGAGACGAUUUUUCGUUCGGCCGUAAAUCAUCGUGAAAAAUAAAGGCGGCGACGGCGACGGCGGCGGCUCGAUCGAGAAAAGGGUGGAACAAGGAGAAACAUAUUAAAACGCGGGGUCGAAUGACAGCAGGUGGCAGAAUCUCGUCGCACGGUUGUCACGUCGCACUUAGGGGUCGAUUGAAGAGAAGCAUACGAUUGAUCGUACGGCCAAAUUUGGCUUUGUCCGGACGAUCCGGAAGCGGCGAUCGCGUUGAAUAAUAAUCAGAACCGUUUCGCGGACACUGUCACGAGAAUUAAUUUUUCGCAUCGGGCCUGGACGGGACCGUCCAACCGGGAUCGACGAAAUCCAUUGUCGUACACGGCCCGAAAAUAUUAUUGCUCCGAAUCGAACUUUCGUGUCCGUGCCGCCGCACGUUGAUAAAAAAAACAUUCGAGGAUGCUCGAUUACGUUGACACACGCACCUUUUGUUAAAGGGUCGAACCCUCACGGCUACCUUCACCGAAGCCAUGGCUACGGGGAGCGCAUGGACUGCUCAGGGAACGGCACACCGUGUAUAUUUCUCACACUGAACUUCUCGGCUUUCGGCUCGCGUUACGCGAAUACCAGGUACGUCGCGACGCUGCGCGGGCAAGGCAUCGUCGACGGUCGCCGCCGUGCUACGAAACGUCGUCGUCGUCGUCGCGGUUCACACACGACGACCACCAUCGUCCUUAACACGCUCUCGACAGACGGACGACUGCUGGCGAGCCGCCGUCCGAGACAAAAAAUUGCGUGUCCGCGCAUGCGCGUACGCGCGCGAAUCCCCUAAUUUCAAGUGAUCAGCACAUUUGCUCGUUGCUCGUGACGGCGCGGCGAGCGGAAAACGCGCGGACGGCAAAAGAAAAAAACGCCGCCGGCGAGCGGAAAGAAGCUAGCGAGAGAAAGGGAGAGACGAAACCAGAGCUGGGUAACAUUACAAGAAAAAAUGCUCCAAAUGCUAUGUUAAAUAUUAGACACCAUCUCCUGUGGUUGCAAGAUCGAACAACGUAAGCCAUACGUUUCUGCUCGAACGAUACAAUCCGCUAUUGUAUGGUAGAAUUUCUUUCUUUUAUGUACCGUAAACUAUAGUUUAUUUGAAGAAACUUUGUUCAGCGUCGUAAUUAUA